CUGACCCCUUGAGGGUCCUAAAGGGCCGUUGGAGACCACAACGUUGAUAGGUGGGGUGUGUAAGCGCAGUGAUGUGUUGAGCUAACCCAUACUAAUUACCCGUGAGGCUUAACCAUACAACACCCAAGAAGUGUUCU
rnacentral:rRNA from 1 species